rnacentral:lncRNA from 1 species
CUACCACUGAGCCACAACCCCAGCCCAGCAGUUUAAAUAUUGAUAAUUAUUUUUUAUCAAAUUAACCUUGUGUUAAAUAGGACCAAAAACUUGUCAAAACUACAAACCAAAAGCUUUUAUACUAGAUCACUACUGACUUUGUUGUUCAAAAUUUAACAUAUAGAUAUUGUAGCUGUGAAUAAUUUCAAAUGGGAAAGAAGUGUGAAGCAUGUGUUUUAUUCACAUUAAUAAUAGUUUACUAUUUGUUUCUGGUUUGGGAAAAGAAGACUUAUUAUUUUAUAGAAAAUUAUGUCAAAAUCUAGCUAGUUACCUGCAUGCCAUGGCACAAACCUCUAAUCCAGCAACUUGGGAGACCUGUGGGUAAUAUUGCAAGUUUGAAUCCAGCCUGGGCAAUUUAUGGAGACCCUGUCUCAAAAUCAAAAAAGGGCUGGAAAUGUAAGCUCAGUGGUAGAGCACCCAAUCCAGUAGCCUGAAAUAAUUGCCACAGUUUCUGGAUCAUAAGUAAGGAAGGAACCUGGGUAGUUCUGGAUCAGUAUCUCAUGACUUUGCAGUUAUGCCAUCACCAUGGCUACAGUAUCAUCUGAGGGAUCAGGAGGGGAGAAUCUGCUUUCAAGCUCAGAGUAAUUGUCAUACCCGAGUGCCCUCUUGACAUAGUUGCAGGCUUCUACCACAUUAACCCAGGUGCACCCAAGAUAGAGAUUUGGUGCCUGCAGAAGACAUACGUGUUCAUCAGUCACUCCCCUCUCAUGUGUUUCUGGGCCAAACCUUCCUGUUAGGAAUGACCUCCAGAACAAGACAGAACCUCUGAAAGCCUCUGAUCAGUUGCUUAGGAAACAGAGUCUUUAAGCAUUGUGACCAGCAGGUCUUGAGUCGGCCUUAAAUGUAUACUGACCAAAAAAACCACAGUAAUCACAUACAAAAAAUCUGACUUUUUCAAAAGAAGGAAAGUAGAAAAUACUUUAAAAUGAAUAAAAGGGAAGAUGCACAAGUCUCCAUUAACACACUUGAUGGUAAAACCUCCCCAGUGUUUGCUUUUGGGUUAUUUUGUGUGCUGGGCAUGGAACCCAGGGCUUUGUACAUGCAGCAGAUGCUCUACUACUGAGCUCUAAAGAGAAGAAAAUAAUGAUCAGAAACAUCAAAAUACCAAUAACCUGUGGAAAGGAGGACUUUGUGAUCAGAAAAGUGUUCAGAGGGGAAGGAAAGUGAGGGCCAUGCUGUAUUUACUGAUCUAAGUGUUGCUUUGUGAUCAUAAAUUUUACCUUUCUAUGUACCUUGUUUCUGAUAUAGCUCGUGAUUUUUUUUCUUAAAAUUCAGAAAAGUUCCCAAGGCGAAGGAGAAAGUGAUUUUUGUUGGUCAUAUGUUGGACUUAGUUUUUCAAGAGUUGAUUGUGUCUUGCCCAAAUAUUCAAAAUAGUCUUGAAAAAACAAUGACAGGUACCAUACUUUCUAAUUUCAAAACAAUGUGGUGCUGGCAUAUGAAGUAGGAUAGAAAUCCUACAGGCAAUGAAGUAGGAUAGAAAUCCCAGAAAUAAACCCUCACAUUUACUGUCAGAUGACUUUUCUCCAAGGGCACUGUAGACAGGGAAAGGUUGAUCUCUUCUGCAGUAGGAAACUGGAUAUCCAUGUGCAGAAGUGUGAAGUCGAACCCUUACUGUCCUCCAUAUUUUAAAAAAAAAAUUAACUCAAUGGAUUAGAAAUAUAAAUUUGAGACCCAAAACUACACAAUUUCUAGAAGAAAACAGGGAAAGCUUUAGCAGCAAUUUGCUUGCAGUAAUACCAGAAGCACAGGCAACAAAAGGCAAAGAGAAAAGUGGGCUUACAUAAAACUUCUGUGUAUUAAAGGACACAAUAAAAUGAAAUGAUAAUCUGUGGAAUGGGAGAAAAUAUUUGCAAAAUCUGAUGGGGAUCAUGUCCCAGAACAUGUGAAGAACUUAGAACAACAAAAUGGCCUAUUUAUGGGCAAAGGGAGCUGGGUGCAGUGGUGUAUACCUGAAGUCCCAGGUUGGGAGGCUGAGGCAGGAGGGUCACUUAAGCCAAGGAGUCUGGGGCCAACCUGGGAAACCUAGUGAGACUCUGUCUCGCAAGGAAAAGGUGGGUGGGGGGGACGGUUUAUUACACAUUUCUCCAAAGAAGAUAUAUAAAUGGACAAUAAGCUUAUGAAAAUUUGCUCAACAUCACAUAAUCAGAAAUGCAAAUUGAAAGCAUGAUCAUCUCAUAUCAGGAUGGCUGGUCAAAAAUUACAAGUGGUGACAAGGAUGUGAGAUAAUUGGGCCCCUUAUACACGGGUGAGAAAAUAAAAUGGUACAACCAUUAUGGAAAACAGUAUAG